AACUGUUGGGAUUACAAGUGUAAACUGUCACAUCCAGCCCAUAAUUUAUUUAUGAUGGUGACCUAUUCUAUGGGCUAAUGGAAUAUAUUUAUUUUAUAUUUUGUAUUUAAUUAGGUUUCUUGAUUGAUUACCCAUCAUGGAUUGAAAAGUUAUGUCAAGACCUAAAGGAAUAAGGAAAUCUCCAUGAACUAUAUAUAAGUCUAAAAAAUAAUGUAAUGAUAGUGAAGAGUAAAAGAUAUUAGAUUGAAUGAAAAGUUGAUUACUUGAUUGCUCCCAAGCUUCCUUUUUUUCCUGAACCUCAAAUAAAGCUAAAUUCUAUUGUUUUUCAUUUUAAGUUCUCAGGAAAAUAGGAAAAAAAUUAACAACAUGAGGGAAGUUGUAAGACAUGGGAAAUGAUAGAGUGCUUUACACCCAGGCCUGUGUAGACUGACUCCCCUGCUGAGAUGAAGAUGCCAACAGGACAACAGAGCAGCAGGUGCCCUGCCUCAGGUGGACAGCCUCCAAUCUUGCUGUGGAGAAGACUAAGCAGAGAUUUAAGAAUACUCCUAUCCCAAGGUUGCACAAUUUGUAAGUGGCAGGAAUGUAGUCUUCUGAUUCAUAUUCCAGUGCUUGUCUUAAUGUGAAAGUUAUGAAAAUAAAUCAAAUUUUGUACUUUCAUGGAGCAAAUGUUACUAUCAGAUCAGUUGUGUCUACAUUUCACCAAAAUAUUUACCAAUCCAGAAAAAAAAAUAAGCCAAUAUGAGAUACUUGGCACCACGUAGGAAACCACAUUGGAUUUCUCAGUUUUCAAACAAUUAUCCUGAUGUCAAGAAGAUGUGACCCCAGAAAUAUGAAAAAAAUAAAAUGUCAGUUGUCUUGGUGACCUUUCUUUUGAUGCUAAGCUUCAUAUAAUAGGCAUCUACAGGUUUCACUUUUAGACUGUGUUCUUCUACAGAGUGGCAGGAGAGAUGCUGAAAUUUGUGCCAAUAUUUCACUGGAGGUGAUCAUUUUCAAUCUAUGUACAUAGGGACACAGCUGGAGUGACAGACACUUCUGCCAAUUAUGACACCUAGAUGGAUUUUGACAGAAAAAUGACAGUCAUGACAGCAUUUCCUCCAGAGCCUAAAAACUGUGAGUAGGUCAGAAGAGUUAUCCAGUAGGCUGUAGAUUCUGUCUCCUUC